rnacentral:rRNA from 1 species
CGUAGGGUGCAGGCGUUAAUCGGAAUUACUGGGCGUAAAGCGUGCGCAGGCGGUCUCUUAAGACAGGUGUGAAAUCCCCGGGCUUAACCUGGGAACUGCGCUUGUAACUGAGAGGCUUGAGUGUGCCAGAGGGGGGUGGAAUUCCACGUGUAGCAGUGAAAUGCGUAGAGAUGUGGAGGAACACCGAUGGCGAAGGCAGCCCCCUGGGGUAACACUGACGCUCAUGCACGAAAGCGUGGGUAGCAAACAGGAUUAGAUACCCUGGUAGUCCACGCCCUAAACGAUGUCAACUAGGUGUUGGGAGGGUAAAACCUUUUAGUACCGGAGCUAACGCGUGAAGUUGACCGCCUGGGGAGUACGGCCGCAAGGUUA